rnacentral:rRNA from 1 species
AACGAACGCUGGCGGCGCGCCUAAUACAUGCAAGUCGAGCGAGAAGACGUAGCAAUACGUUUGUAAAGCGGCGAACGGGUGAGGAAUACAUGGGUAACCUACCCUCGAGUGGGAAUAACUAGCCGAAAGGUUAGCUAAUACCGCGUACGCUCCUUGGACUUCGGUUCAGGGAGGAAAGCGAUACCGUGGGUAUCGCGCUCUUGGAUGGGCUCAUGUCCUAUCAGCUUGUUGGUGAGGUAACGGCUCACCAAGGCUUCGACGGGUAGCUGGUCUGAGAGGACGAUCAGCCACACUGGCACUGCGACACGGGCCAGACUCCUACGGGAGGCAGCAGUAAGGAAUAUUGCGCAAUGGGCGAAAGCCUGACGCAGCGACGCCGCGUGGGGGAUGAAGGUCUUCGGAUUGUAAACCCCUUUCGGGUAGGGAAGAUGGAACGAGCAAUCGUUCGGACGGUACCUCCAGAAGCAGCCACGGCUAACUUCGUGCCAGCAGCCGCAGUAAG